rnacentral:lncRNA from 1 species
UUCAGGUGCAGACUUUCCAGAUAAGUUUAUCAUUCAUGAGCAUUAUUAUGCCCUAGACUCUAGAGUAGAUUGAUUGUAGUUCAGUUUAGAGUUUAGUAAAGUGUUCUCAGACUUAUGGUGAUGACUUGAAGCUAAAGAGGAGAGUAUAGUUGAAAGAGUGCAGAAGAAGUACUUCAGUUAAGUAUAAGUUUCAGCAUGAGUUAGUCAGUAAAUCCAGUAAGUCAGUUUAGCAGUCAGACA